CUCAACACGGGAAAACUNCCCAGGUCCGGACAUAGUGAGGAUUGACAGAUUGAAGAUCUUUCUUGAUUCUAUGGGUGGUGGUGCAUGSCCGUUCUUAGUUGGUGGAGUGAUUUGUCUGGUUAAUUCCGUUAACGAACGAGACCUCGNCCUGCUAAAUAGUCGGCAAAUUCUUCGGGAUUUGUACGUGACUUCUUAAGAGGGACUAUCGNUGGUUACCCAAUGAAAGUUCGAGGCAAUAACACGUC
rnacentral:rRNA from 1 species